GUCCCAGUAGCUCAGCUGGAUAGAGCAACGGCCUUCUAAGCCGUAGGUCGCAGGUUCGAAUCCUGCCUGGGAUGCCA
rnacentral:tRNA from 2 species